UCGGUGAGGAGCGGCGGACGGGUUAGUAACGCGUGGGAAUAUACCCUUCUCUACGGAAUAGCCUUGGGAAACUGAGAGUAAUACCGUAUAAGCCCUUCGGGGGAAAGAUUUAUCGGUGAAGGAUUAGCCCGCGUUAGAUUAGAUAGUUGGUGGGGUAAUGGCCUACCAAGUCUACGAUCUAUAGCUGGUUUGAGAGGAUGAUCAGCAACACUGGGACUGAGACACGGCCCAGACUCCUACGGGAGGCAGCAGUGGGGAAUCUUAGACAAUGGGCGCAAGCCUGAUCUAGCCAUGCCGCGUGAGUGACGAAGGUCUUAGGAUCGUAAAGCUCUUUCGCCAGAGAUGAUAAUGACAGUAUCUGGUAAAGAAACCCCGGCUAACUCCGUGCCAGCAGCCGCGGUAAUACGGAGGGGGUUAGCGUUGUUCGGAAUUACUGGGCGUAAAGCGUACGUAGGCGGAUUGGAAAGUAGGGGGUGAAAUCCCAGGGCUCAACCC
rnacentral:rRNA from 1 species